CACGCGGGCCCCAACAGCUGUCACUAUUAAACGCUGUCACAGGAUUUCUACGUUUCUCCUGGGAUCGAAAAUCGACAUCAAAGAAUUGAAGUUAGACUACAAUGAAAUCAUUAAGGAAAAGGAUGAAUGGAGUGUGGAAGACAUAAUCUCUCAACGUAUUUUACGCAGUUUACUAGACCAUGUCCUGCUGAGGUCCUUUAUUGUUGCAUUGCUUGUUGGAAGCUUCAUUUCAAUCAGCUGUCAGACUGAGC